rnacentral:rRNA from 1 species
AAAUUUAGUCAAUGCUCGAAAGAGUGAACUAGCUAACUGAAAUCAAUAAUGUGUCAUUAUUGAUAACGUAAGGUAAAAAUAAUGAUGGUCCCUUACUAUUAGUGUCGUCCAAAUACUCGUGCCAGAAGACUCGGUAAGGCGAGAGACGCAAACGUUAGUCGUCUUAAUCAGGCGUAAAGGGUUUGUAGGCGGCUUUAAGAAUUUUUUUUUAAUUUAAAAAAAAAAAUCAAUUAAAGCUAGAAUCAAAAAGAGGUUAUAUUAAAAAAUGCUUAGAGUAGGGUUGGUAACUGGAGAUCCUAAGUAGAAUUCUAACGGCGAAGGCUUUUUUCCAUUAAUGAUUGACGCUGAGAAACUAAGGUGAGGACAGAAAAAAGGAUUUGAGACCCUUAUAUCCCUCACAUUCAACGAUGAAUGGUAGUUACUAGAAGUUUCUUUUAGAGACGAUGUUAACACGAAAACCAUUCCGCCUUGUGAGUACGACUGCAAAGUUGAAAACAAAAAAAUUAGUCGGUUUCGGAGCAAACGAAGUGGAGCAUGUUAUUUA